rnacentral:rRNA from 1 species
UACGAAGGGGGCUAGCGUUGCUCGGAAUUACUGGGCGUAAAGGGCGCGUAGGCGGAUGUCUAAGUCAGAGGUAAAAGCCCAGGGCUUAACCUUGGAACUGCCUUUGAUACUGGGCAUCUUGAGUUCGGGAGAGGUGAGUGGAACUCCGAGCGUAGAGGUGAAAUUCGUAGAUAUUCGGAAGAACACCAGUGGCGAAGGCGACUCACUGGCCCGAUACUGACGCUGAGGCGCGAAAGCGUGGGGAGCAAACAGG